rnacentral:sRNA from 1 species
CUGUUUGUUUCAAUCCAAACGAUAUCCUCAGUAGGUCUAGAGUAGGCAUUCUCUAUAAGUCGCUAGUAAAAAUUGUCCCGAGGCUUACAAAACAAAUCUAAAAUGAAUAAUUUCACUGGAUCUCUGACGGUAGGCAGGCGAACAAUUGCCAGAA